UUAAAAAUAAAUCCCUUUUACAAAGUUGACGGCCCAUAUGAAAUCUACACUGACAGCGAGAGCGCGCCUGAGCGGUGACGCGCAUCCUCGACUGCAUCAGGCAGCAUCAGCUGAAGCGCAACAGUCCCAAUCUGCCCCCAUAAACGCGCGACACACGGAGAGAAAACUGGAAACAAACACUAUUAUUGCAAUGGAGAAGAAACUCGACAAAGUGGACACGUCAAGUUCAUCGAGUGGUAGGACUAAAGGUGCAGAUGCUGAUGAUGUUUCGCUGUCCCCUCGUGAGAGAGGGGGGCGGAUAAAGGCUUGAGCCCACCAGCAGACAGUCUGAUCACCGGGAGUAUCUCUCGUCCUCCCCUCCUCUUUUCUCACACGAAAUAAGAGCAAGCAUUCAGUAGCGUGAAACCUGAGCAUCUUUGUGUUGCUGUGAAGCCACCGAAGGUUCAAAAGGUAAGGAAAUACUCUCGCUGGAGGAGAGAGUGCAAGACUCUUUUGCGGGUUCAACAGAAUUAAAAACAGAACUAACUGUAGUCUUAAACUAGAAUGGGAGUUUAUGUCUCGUGUAUUUUUCAAUGUGUAGAGGUUAACUUCAUCCGUUGAUAAACUCACUAGUUGCUUUUAUAUAAGGGAGGCUAUUUAACUCAUCCAACUAUAUAUGAUGCAGCUAUAUAUAGAAAAACAUAAUAGUUUUGUUUAGCGUUAUAUUGAAAACCUCUGUAGAUUAGUUAUAAGUGCAGAAGGUUUGAUGACCGAUCAGAGCCUCGCUUGGGAAAUUCAGAAUUAUUCCUGACUCUUAGGAAGUACAAACUACAUAUGAAUGAGGGUGCAUCAUUUUAACAGCACCUACUGGAUUUUAAUAAUAGUUGUAGUGUGACCAUGUCGGUCCCUGUCAAGAGGACUCAGUGGGACGAAGACCUGUCUCAGUUUCGUAAGGAUCACGGUCUUUCCAAGAAAGUGCUGCUCAACUGCUGUCUGGUCAGGCGGAUCAUCUCCUGGGCUUCCCCCAAACAAAAAGGUAAGUCCCUCUUCAAGAGAAGUGGCCAUCGCUGUAGUAUCACCCAGAAUGAAUGCGAGAGUCUGAUGGAACUACACUAGAUAAAAUAAAGGUUCUUUGUUGACAUCAGUGGUUCCAUGAAGAACCUUUAACAUCCAUGGAAUCUUUCCAUCGUACAAAAGGUUCUUUCUAGUGGAUAAAGGUUCUUUAGAGUAUUUAAAUGUUCUUCUUUUUAGAGCUGUUCACUGAAAGUUUGUUUAAAGAGCCAAAAUUGUUCUUUUAUGGCAUUGCUGUGAAAACCUCCAUUAUUUUUAAUAGUGUAUUUUUAAGAGUUAAGUACUGUACUUUACAAACAAUGCAGUGCUUAAAAACAAAAGUCUGUCAGUUACAUGAUUUCACACAGAGUAUGUGCACGGAAGCUUUUUAAGUGUAUUUUAAAGGGCUAGUUCAUCCAAAAAUGAGAAAUGUCUCUGUUUUUGGACAGAUGAAACAUUUUGGUUACCAAAAUUCUUCAGAAUAUGUUCUUUUGUGUUCUGCUGAAGAAAGUGAUGCAGAUUUGGAAAGACAUGUGGAUGAGUAAAUGAUGACAGAAUUUUCUUUGCUUUAUCGUAAUACUGCAUGGCUUCUUAUCGGUUAGUUGUUUCCAUGGGGGAAAAAAGAACAAAAGCCCAUUAAUUUAGAUUUUGUAAAAAAUAAUACUGCAGUUUGCGAUCAUUUGUAGUAGAAUAAAAUGGGAACAUGGGACAGUUCCAGGAUGAGGCAAAUGAUUAAUUCUGACGCAAGUUGGCACAACAACUGGCGAUCUAAUUUCAGAAAGUGACAACUGG
rnacentral:lncRNA from 1 species